CUUACCAAUCAUCUCUCAUGGUUGUGCUGUGUUAGAUCAAGCAGUAAGAAGGUCACGGUCAUAGGGGCAGUCUAUUUAGGACUGCCAACAAGAAGGCUAUAAUGAUGAUGAUGAUGACAACUUAUUUAUAACAAUUUAUACUGAGUAUUUACUACAGGUUAUUCUAUAUGUUAUUCACUUUCAGAGUAUUAUUUCUCAGAAUCUUCGCAAUAAC
rnacentral:lncRNA from 1 species